GAUAACCUUGCGAAAGUAAGACUAAUACCCAAUGAUAUCUCUAGAAGGCAUCUGAAAGAGAUUAAAGAUUUAUCGGUGAUGGAUGGGGAUGCGUCUGAUUAGCUUGUUGGCGGGGUAACGGCCCACCAAAGCAACGAUCAGUAGGGGUUCUGAGAGGAAGGUCCCCCACAUUGGAACUGAGACACGGUCCAAACUCCUACGGGAGGCAGCAGUGAGGAAUAUUGGUCAAUGGACGAGAGUCUGAACCAGCCAAGUAGCGUGCAGGAUGACGGCCCUAUGGGUUGUAAACUGCUUUUAUAAGGGAAUAAAGUGAGUCUCGUGAGACUUUUUGCAUGUACCUUAUGAAUAAGGACCGGCUAAUUCCGUGCCAGCAGCCGCGGUAAUACGGAAGGUCCGGGCGUUAUCCGGAUUUAUUGGGUUUAAAGGGAGCGUAGGCCGGAGAUUAAGCGUGUUGUGAAAUGUAGAUGCUCAACAUCUGCACUGCAGCGCGAACUGGUUUCCUUGAGUACGCACAAAGUG
rnacentral:rRNA from 1 species